rnacentral:rRNA from 1 species
CCAAUGACUCUCGGCUAUGGAUAUCUCAGCUCUCGCAUCGAUGAAGAACGUAGUGAAAUGCGAUACUUGGUGUGAAUUGCAGAUUCUCGUGAACCAUUGAGUCUUUGAUCGCAAGUUGUGCCKGAGCCCUUGUGGUCGAGGGCACGCCUGCUUGGGCGUCAU